rnacentral:rRNA from 1 species
GAUGAACGCUGGCGGCGUGCCUAAUACAUGCAGGUCGAGCGAACAGACGAGGAGCUUGCUCCUCUGACGUUAGCGGCGGACGGGUGAGUAACACGUGGAUAACCUACCUAUAAGACUGGGAUAACUUCGGGAAACCGGAGCUAAUACCGGAUAAUAUAUUGAACCGCAUGGUUCAAUAGUGAAAGACGGUUUUGCUGUCACUUAUAGAUGGAUCCGCGCCGCAUUAGCUAGUUGGUAAGGUAACGGCUUACCAAGGCAACGAUGCGUAGCCGACCUGAGAGGGUGAUCGGCCACACUGGAACUGAGUCACGGUCCAGACUCCUACGGGAGGCAGCAGUAGGGAAUCUUCCGCAAUGGGCGAAAGCCUGACGGAGCAACGCCGCGUGAGUGAUGAAGGUCUUCGGAUCGUAAAACUCUGUUAUUAGGGAAGAACAAAUGUGUAAGUAACUAUGCACGUCUUGACGGUACCUAAUCAGAAAGCCACGGCUAACUACGUG